UGGCGGACGGGUGAGUAACGCGUAAAGAACUUGCCCUUUAGACUGGGAUAACAGAGGGAAACUUCUGAUAAUACUGGAUAAGUUAGUAUAUCGCAUGAUAUGCAAAUGAAAGCUACGGCACUAAAGGAGAGCUCUGCGUCCUAUUAGCUAGUUGGUAAGGUAAGAGCUUACCAAGGCGAUGAUAGGUAGCCGGCCUGAGAAGGUGGACGGCCACAAGGGGACUGAGAUACGGCCCUUACUCCUACGGGAGGCAGCAGUU
rnacentral:rRNA from 1 species